rnacentral:lncRNA from 1 species
CCAUGUUCCCCUUCUCCUCUUUUUUUUUUCUCAGAAAACAAAAAAACUAAAAUAGGAGCUCUUUUCCCUAUAAUCACUAUUUUUAGGUAAUCUGUCCUUAGACUCAUUCAUCUCCAUUCUUGACAAAAAAAAUCUUUUCUUUUUUGAUUACCAUUGUCUCCAAAAUUCAAGCUUUUGACCAUUUUCUUGGUUUCAGAUCUGCUUGCUGAUUUGGGUUUUUAUUUUUCUGAGCUGAAGCUGUUCAUUUUGAAGACAUUUUCUUUGUGGGUUUUGGUUAUUUUCCCAUGUUGUUGAGCUCUGAGUUGCCUAUAAGAGAUUGAUGAAGGUAUUCUUUUUCUUAAUGUUUAUGCUCCACUUUUGAUUUUACAAGGUUUAAGCAUAAAGAUAUAUUGGUUGUUUUAUUUUGGG